UUGCUCACUCAAGCACUUUAUACAUUCUAUUCAUUUGAAAUGAAGGAUAUAUUCACCUAAAAUAGGUGUGAAUUAGGUGGCAUAAAAAUUGGAUAUGUUCAUCUAUUACAAAAAGAUAACAUCCUAAUACUUGGAUGAAACCUUAACUAUUGGAUGGAUGAUGAUGCCACAGAUGACCUCUAAUGGUAGAUAGAUAAAUGAUGGAUGAAUAGUGCCAACACAACAAACUCUAAAUCAAUUCUACAUUAAAGAAAGUAAUCCUAAAUGGAACCAUGAGAGGACAACCUUCUUGAAGUACAUGUCCGGAGACUAUACAACUACGAUAGUACAAUGGCGUCCAGUCUGGAGAAUCAUUGUUGGAAACACACCGAGGCAGUGCAAAAGUACUUCAAAAACAAUGUUGCACACACAAAACUGCGCCGAUAUUUUCUAUACAAAUAAGUAAGGCUUCCUUGUUCUUGUAUCAUAGAUGUUGAAACCACCAUGGCUUAGAAGUAUCACAUUACAGAGUUGCACCGACAAGGCCCAUUGACAAGAAUGAACGCUUCACUCCGAGGUGCCUUGGCCAAUGCAUAGGAUAAUAUGAAUGAAGCGAGUGUGGUGACCGCAAGAGAUGUUAUUUGUAGAGAGCCAGGAAGAAAAGGUGCAUACCUGGCGAUCCAGUUGCGAGAGCAAAAGAAGAAUCCCAACCUGUGGAUGCUGCAAGUGAGAAACAUGAGAUGAAGAAUCCGUUAGAGGAGAACCGGGUGUUGCUGCUGCUGCUAACAAGGCUGCUUCGCAUGUCGUCAAGAAAUGAGCUCUUCGUCUUCGACCCAGCCGGUGACUUGGUACCCACACACAAGAAUCCCCCUACCGAGCAGCAAAGGCAUUGUGAUUGACAGAGAGUCAAGCUCUUUGCCAUGGUUCUCUUUGAAACAACCAUGCACAGCAAGCUGGGACAUUCGAGAUCCAUCCAAUGACCAAAUUCAUCUCGCAGUAAGAUUGAAUAAACUUGGAAAGCUACAGAGGUACGCAUCAUGGCUUCAUAAUACAAAAAUUUGUGUUAUUCUGCGGGAGAGGAAUGAGGAUUCGACACAGAUGACCUGAGAAGAAACUAUGUUGAUAAAGAGAGGGAGUAGUUUGGCUCAGCUGCAACUGAAUUUCAGCAUUGUAACAAAAGAAAAUUAGCUAGCGGAUAAAAGUGAUCCCGACAUAGAAGAGGUUAAAUGGCAGAAUAUAUGAGGGUCUGAACCUGGAUGUUAAGCCUCCCAGAGUUCCCUCCUCACGGAGUAGGGAAAUAAAUGUCCACGGCGACGAAGAA